rnacentral:rRNA from 1 species
GAGUUUGAUCGUGGCUCAGAUUGAACGCUGGCGGCAUGCCUUACACAUGCAAGUCGAACGGCAGCAUGAUCUAGCUUGCUAGAUUGAUGGCGAGUGGCGAACGGGUGAGUAAUACAUCGGAACGUGCCCUGUAGUGGGGGAUAACUAGUCGAAAGAUUAGCUAAUACCGCAUACGACCUGAGGGUGAAAGUGGGGGACCGCAAGGCCUCAUGCUAUAGGAGCGGCCGAUGUCUGAUUAGCUAGUUGGUGGGGUAAAGGCCCACCAAGGCGACGAUCAGUAGCUGGUCUGAGAGGACGAUCAGCCACACUGGGACUGAGACACGGCCCAGACUCCUACGGGAGGCAGCAGUGGGAAUUUUGGACAAUGGGCGAAAGCCUGAUCCAGCAAUGCCGCGUGUGUGAGAAGGCC